rnacentral:rRNA from 1 species
CAAUAGCGUAUAUUAAAGUUGUUGCAGUUAAAAAGCUCGUAGUUGGAUUUCUGGUGGGAGCACGGGUCGGCCCUCACGGGUUGUACUGUUGUUGCGUCCUGCCGUUUCGGAGGGAAUGGUCUCGCUAUUAGGUUAGUGGGGUCGGGAACUCUGUCGUUUACUGUGAAAAAAUUAGAGUGUUCAAAGCAGGCCUUCGCUGUGAAUACAUUAGCAUGGAAUAAUAAGAUAGGACUAUGGUGCUAUUUUGUUGGUUUGCGUACUAUGGUAAUGAUUAAUAGGGAUAGUUGGGGGUAUUCAUAUUCAAUUGUCAGAGGUGAAAUUCUUGGAUUUAUGGAAGAUGAACUACUGCGAAAGCAUUUACCAAGGAUGUUCUCAUUAA